rnacentral:rRNA from 1 species
UGGGGAAUAUUGCACAAUGGGCGCAAGCCUGAUGCAGCCAUGCCGCGUGUGGUGAAAGAGGCCUUCGGGUGUAAAGCACUUUCAGCGAGGAGGAAGGUGGUGAACUUAAUACGUUCAUCAAUUGACGUUACUCGCAGAAGAAGCACCGGCUAACUCCGUGCCAGCAGCCGCGGUAAUACGGAGGGUGCAAGCGUUAAUCGGAAUUACUGGGCGUAAAGCGCACGCAGGCGGUUUGUUAAGUCAGAUGUGAAAUCCCCGGGCUCAACCUGGGAACUGCAUUUGAAACUGGCAAGCUAGAGUCUCGUAGAGGGGGGUAGAAUUCCAGGUGUAGCGGUGAAAUGCGUAGAGAUCUGGAGGAAUACCGGUGGCGAAGGCGGCCCCCUGGACGAAGACU